CUAAUUAUUUUGUUUUUUUUUUGUUCUACCAUGUAUUAUGCCAAUUAUAAUGACUGCUAUUCCAAUUUGGAUGAUCAUUUUUAUGUGAUAAUAAUUGCUAAAAUGCCGAUAAUAAUCAGCAUUAAGCAUUGAUAAUCUUCAAAGACUCAUAGAGGAAUUCCCUCAAUGCGUUUGUAUACACCAAUAUUUACAAUGCACGAUAAAUGACAAGUUCUCAAUGACAAGGCAUGGAAAAGAAUCCACCAUUCUUCUCAUCGACUGUAGCAUGCUCGCAAUCCAUUAGCCCAA
rnacentral:lncRNA from 1 species